rnacentral:rRNA from 1 species
UCCCAGACUCCUACGGGAGGCAGCAGUGGGGAAUAUUGCACAAUGGGGGGAACCCUGAUGCAGCGACGCCGCGUGAGUGAAGAAGUAUUUCGGUAUGUAAAGCUCUAUCAGCAGGGAAGAAGAUGACGGUACCUGACUAAGAAGCCCCGGCUAACUACGUGCCAGCAGCCGCGGUAAUACGGAGGAUGCGAGCGUUAUCCGGAUUUAUUGGGUUUAAAGGGUGCGUAGGCGGAAUGCCAAGUCAGCGGUAAAAUCGCGGGGCUAAACCUCGCUCCGCCGUUGAAACUGGCGUUCUUGAGUGGGCGAGAAGUAUGCGGAAUGCGUGGUGUAGCGGUGAAAUGCAUAGAUAUCGCGCAGAACUCCGAUUGCGAAGGCAGCAUGCCGGCUCCACACUGACGCUGAGGCACGAAAGCGUGGGUAUCGAACAGGAUUAGAUACCCGGGUAA